UAAUUAUAACCCCUAUUCUGCCCAAUCAGAAAACCUGUUGCACGUCUUGUCUGCUAGGCUGGCAUUUCUUCUUCAAGACGUUUUCACAAUUCCAAAGGGAGCAUUUAACACUUUGUCUGUUGAUCUGCCCAUUUUCACAGCUUCCCUUUCUUUCUUUUCUUCUCUAUCCAUUUUCAAUCCGGUUCACACACACUAUCAUUUACUCUCUGAAAUUCGGCAUAUUCAGGAACACUAUCCACCAGCGAGUGCCUCUGCAGCGAAAGCUGAGCCUAUCUGGUGAUGAAUCUCUGAGCAAGAUAUUAAGGCCUUUCCUCCACUAUUUCUAACCACUAUCCCUGAAGCCGCUUGACUAGAUCUUUUAUCAUAUGCUGCGUCAAAAUUAAUCUUCACUAUCUGAUCAGGUGGAUGUUUCCAUUUACUGACUUCCUGGAUUGCCCAUAACGCGCAACAAAAUAAUCUACACAAGGAAAUAUUAUUCUGGGCAAACACCCAGGGCAUUCCCAGAAGAGAUGGUCCAUUGUUUCCACUGCUGAUUCACAUCGGGGGCAGAUUGCAUUAGUAAUUAGCUUUCUGUAUUGCAUGUUAGCUCGUGUAGGCAAAUAAUUCCAGGAGAUUUUCCAAACUGUAAUCUUAAUUUUGGAGGGUAGAUUUAAUAGCCAUAUUUUUUUAUAGAAAUUGUUGUAGUCGGUCUAUAAAGCAUAAGCACUAGAUCUUCCAACCUUAUUUAUAGGCACUACGGAUAGAGUAUUCUCCGGAGAGUUCACCACUCCAAGCCAGGAAAUCAUCAUGAGGAGCUUUCACCAGAGGAAUAUGCAGAAUCUUCUCAGCUACUUUGUGAGGAAAGGAGUUAAAGAAAGCAAGGGAAAGGCGAAGGUCAUCGAGUAGCUGACUUGGACUAUUUUUACCCAACACAAGGUAAGUCAUUAAGCAUAUAUUUGAUAUUGCUUAAAUGAUUGUAAUAUCUAUGCAAUUGUGUUUAAUGAGAUGAAAUAUAUACAAAUGUAUGUGUAUGAAAAGAUGAUAAUGUUGAACGUAAAAAAGAUAGUGAAAUGUGUAGGAAGUUUGCUUCGGCACUAAGUGUGCGAGAAAUAAAUGUGUACGGUGACGAGAUUGGCAUUGAGUGUGCGAGCUUGCAAUGUCCGGCACUAAGUGCAAGUUUGGACUAUAUGGCACUAUGUGUGCGGGCUUGAAUCAUAUGGCACUAAGUGUGCGUGAUUGAGUAUUAAGCACUAUGUGUGCGAACUCUACACAUAUUUCCGAUUGAACAUUUAUAUGGAGGCGUGAUUUUAUCGAGAUGAGUAUGGAUAGCGAAAAGAGUAAGUAUCUUGAGUUCAUUGCUAAUAGAUGCUAUGUUCAUGCUCGGGGUGGAGUUGGUAAGAUUUAAAUUUAUGUGAUGAUUUCAAUUGCAUUCCCGUAAAUAAGGUAUCGUGGAAUAGAUUAAAGUUCAUUUGAUUGCAUGAUUGUUGCGGAAAUGAAAUGAUGUAUGGAAAUUGCUUCAAAUAUCCUAUUGAACAGUAUAUGAAAUGUAAAUGUAUGACUUGGUAUGAGAUUGAUCCGAAAGAUGUAAGGAACUAUGAUAUAGUUUGGUAUGGCUGGAA